CAAAAUCGAAUUGGGUAUUUAGAAUUGGAUAAAAAAACCCUAGAAGCUAAAGCCUCUCUACGACCCUGCCGAUCUGCCCCUGUCGUCGACGUCGCCUGUGCCUCUUGCUGAUGUCGCCGUCCCGUUCGCUAUUGACAAUCUCAGUCGUCGCAGGAUCUUGAAAUGAAAAACACGGCCUCCCUUUGUUUGACCCGAUAGCCCCUUUUACCUUCUCUUUCUAUACUUAAUUAAUCGCCCUUUUCUUCCUUUAACUUAUCUUCUUCACUUGUUUUUCUUUAAAACUUCUUUAUGUUUGGCUUUUAAUACUUAAAAUUAUGUUAUGCUCUUGAUGAUGAUGAUGGCGGUGGUCAUCUGGCAAGAUCGAUGCUUGCUCGUUGUUUUGAAUACCCUUUGUGCGUUCUUUGAUGCCGUUCAGCUGUGCUUCUUCUAAUCUCAGGUUUGAUGUUGUAAGGACAGCUGCUCGAGCCAACUCAGCCAAGGGAGGUAGUUGAGAGAUUCUUAAACAUUAGGGAUUUGUUAGGAGAUCCUUAAACCUCAGGGGAGGUACCGAUAAUAAAUACUCCCCACUAUAAUGGGUUAUGACUUAUGACCAAACCGCGUUUCUCCCCCCUUUAUUCUUCGCGCAACUUCCAGGAAAUUUCCACAUGGAACUUUCAUUGAAACCUCUGAACUAAAUGCUAAAGUGAAGUCUUCUGAAUGAGAAAAAGAGCAUUAACAAUACUUCAAUGGAAACUUUCCAGUAACCCUCCAUGAAAUUUCUUAGCUUCCGUCGAAAGCACUAACACGUCACCACCCAAGAACCUGCCAAGAUCUUACAAAUAUUUCUAAUCUCUCCCACCUGGCUCUAUAUAUAUAUAGACAUAAUCCCAACAUUGUUUUCACUGCUCUACUACCUCUAUUAUAUCAACUGAUUUCAAGAAUGAGACUUGGUAGAUUCAGCUUCGCGUUUGUAUCAGAGUCCGAUUUAGAGGCAUGCACUAGCACUACACAGAAAGAGUACCUACGAAUCUACAUCGAUGAAUUGGUAUUUACUUUAUCUUGUAUAAUCACAGUACUAAUCCUGCAACUCCCUAUGACUAAUAUCAAUGGUAAGCCCGUACCCACUUUUAUUUUUGCUACUCAACCCUCUUCUUUCCAUGCCUUUCUUAUAUUCAUUAUGGCGGCUUGUUAUACUUCCAUUUGCUCAAUUUAUCUCCGAGAACGAAAGCCAAAAGUAGCAAGGUUGUACAAUGGUCUUGCUGUGGUUACAUUUGCGGCAAGUCUUCUAGUUCUGUUGGCGGCAGCUGUUUGUGCCGGGUUGAAGUCGUAUCUUUCGCUUAACUCUGCUAUGAGCGCUGCAUAGAUUUCACAGAAUCGCUUAAUUUUGUUAUUUCUUAUUGUCUUCUACUUAAGUGUGUUGUAUCUCUGUACUAAGAAAUCAAUAUGGUGUCUUUCAGUUAGCCAAA